rnacentral:rRNA from 1 species
CCUACGGGAGGCAGCAGUGGGGAAUAUUGGACAAUGGGCGAAAGCCUGAUCCAGCAAUGCCGCGUGAGUGAUGAAGGCCUUAGGGUUGUAAAGCUCUUUUACCAGGGAUGAUAAUGACAGUACCUGGAGAAUAAGCUCCGGCUAACUCCGUGCCAGCAGCCGCGGUAAUACGGAGGGAGCUAGCGUUGUUCGGAAUUACUGGGCGUAAAGCGUGCGUAGGCGGUGAUUCAAGUCAGAGGUGAAAGCCUGGAGCUCAACUCCAGAACGGCCUUUGAAACUAGAUCGCUAGAAUUAUGGAGAGGUAAGUGGAAUUCCGAGUGUAGAGGUGAAAUUCGUAGAUAUUCGGAAGAACACCAGUGGCGAAGGCGACUUACUGGACAUAUAUUGACGCUGAGGUACGAAAGCGUGGGGAGCAAACAGGAUUAGAUACCCUGGUAGUCCACGCCGUAAACGAUGAUAACUAGCUGUUCGGGCUCUCAGAGCUUGAGUGGCGCAGCUAACGCAUUAAGUUAUCCGCCUGGGGAGUACGGUCGCAAGNUUAAAACUCAAAUGAAUUGACGG